rnacentral:rRNA from 1 species
AUGAAGCUGUCUUCUUCCUCCUCGCUUACACGCACCAUGGUAAUCCUGGCCAUCGUAUGCUGCCGUUGCUCCGUGCUGGUGCCUAGCUCUGCCGCCGACAAAGUUGGAGACGAGACUAUGGAGGGGCGGCGGCUAGGGGCCCGCAAACCAAAGUUGCCUCCUCCGAUGCUCACGGGUAACAAGCAGAUCCAUAUGGCGCCUCCAUACGAAGUUGGUCAGCAGCCUGGAAAGGGGGGAGGGCCACGAGAUGUCCAUGGAGGAUUAGGGACUAUGCCGCAGCUGGGGCUGGCAGUUGGUCAGCAGCCUGGAAAGAAGGGAGGGCCACGAGAUCAUGGAGGAUUGGGGACUAUGCCGCCGCUGGGGCUGGGGGUAUAUGGCGCGGUUGCAAAUCACAUGACCGCAGCGCGUCCAUAA